rnacentral:rRNA from 1 species
ACUGCUCAGUAACACGUGGACAACCUACCCNUUAGGAUGGGGAUAAACCCGGGAAACUGGGUAUAAUACCCAAUAGAUCUGGUCUGCUGGAAAUGCUUCCAGAUUUAAAACUCCGGUGCCUAAGGAUGGGUCUGCGGCCUAUCAGGUUGUAGUGGGUGUAGUGUACCUACUAGCCUACGACAGGUACGGGUUGUGAGAGCAAGAGCCCGGAGAUGGAUUCUGAGACACGAAUCCAGGCCCUACGGGGUGCAGCAGGCGCGAAAACUUUACAAUGCCGGCAACGGCGAUAAGGGGACCUCGAGUGCCAGGUUACAAAUCUGGCUGUCGCGAUGCCUAAAAAGCAUUGCAUAGCAAGGGCCGGGCAAGACCGGUGCCAGCCGCCGCGGUAACACCGGCGGCUCGAGUGGUAACCGUUAUUAUUGGGUCUAAAGGGUCUGUAGCCGGCCGGGUAAGUCUCUUGGGAAAUCCAGCAGCUCAACUGUUGGGCUUUCAGGAGAUACUGCCUGGCUCGAGGCCGGGAGAGGUGAGAGGUACUUCAGGGGUAGGGGUGAAAUCUUGUAAUCCUUGAAGGACCACCAGUGGCGAAGGCGUCUCACCAGAACGGACCUGACGGCAAGGGACGAAAGCUAGGGGCACGAACCGGAUUAGAUACCCGGGUAGUCCUAGCCGUAAACGAUACUCGCUAGGUGUCGGCCACGGUGCGACCGUGGUCGGUGCCGUAGGGAAGCCGUGAAGCGAGCCACCUGGGAAGUACGGCCGCAAGGCUGAAACUUAAAGGAAUUGGCGGGGGAGCAC